UCAUCACUCUUCUUAAAGAAAGCGAAAGGAUCGCAAAAAAGGACAGUCCAGUUGUGGUCUCUCUUUCUCUCUCUUCCUUCCUCCUCUCUCUCCACCCUCUCACCCUGGUGGCUGGUGAUCUCUGGAUCGAGCUGGGCGUCGGAAUUGGUCGAGGAAGCCGCGAUUUGGAUCCCCGCGCCGUUGGCCCCUCUCCGUCUUUCCUUUUUGUUUACUCGAAUCUCUGUCGUAUUGCGGCGGUGAGGACUUCCCGUUGACUUUUCACCGCAGCUUCCGGCGGUGGAUUGACGAUAUCGAGUCUUGCUGUUCUUCGGCAGGUUAACCUGGGGAUGGAGGUUAGGUGCGGGGGAAAGAGGAAAAGAGGUAACUUCGAAGUGGGAUUUGAAGAACCCUUGUAGAGAUUGGUCGGAUUGGGGGAGUCUGUUGGAACGCGUGAGGGUUCUGAAUCGACGGAGAACAUAAGUAUGGGGACCGGCUUUGCAAACUCAAAAAUUGAGAGUGAAAGGGUUUCCGAUAAGUUCCCGGUGGGUAUGAAGAUCCUCUUGGUGGACGACGACGUGACCUGCUUGACGGUGGUGAAGCGCAUGCUUCUUAUUUGCCAGUAUGACGUUACAGUCUGUGCUGAGGCUACGAGCGCUUUAUCACUUCUAAGAGAAAACAAGAGUGCUUUUGAUCUAAUAAUUAGUGAUGUCCAUAUGCCUGAUAUGGAUGGAUUUCGAUUACUUGAAUUAGUUGGUCUAGAAAUGGACCUUCCUGUUAUCAUGAUGUCUAGUGAUACAAGAUUUGAUGUUGUGAUGAAAGGAGUAAGUCAUGGGGCCUGUGAUUUCUUAUCUAAGCCUGUCCGCAUGGAAGAGCUACAGAAUAUAUGGCAACAUGUUGUUAGAAGAAAAUGGUUUGAGAAUAAAGAAAUUGAACGUUCAGGUAGUGUGGAGGAAAGCGAACAUAACAGACAUAUCAUUGAUGAUUCUGAAUAUACUUCCACAGUGAAUGAUGGGCCAGAUAGCUCAUGGAAAUAUCAGAAAAAGAAAAGAGAUUCUAAAGAAGAUGAUGAUACUGAACUAGACAGUGUAGAUCCAACUUCAUCUAAAAAACCACGGGUAGUGUGGUCUGUUGAACUCCAUCAGCAAUUUGUUAAUGCUGUGAACCAACUAGGAAUAGACAAGGCAGUGCCUAAGAGGAUCCUAGAAUUGAUGAAUGUUCCUGGUUUGACGAGAGAAAAUGUUGCUAGCCAUCUUCAGAAAUUCAGACUUUACCUGAAGAGAUUAAGUGGAGUGGCUCAGCAACAAAAUUCAUUUAGUAAUACUUUAUGCGGAGCUUCUUCAAAUGCAAAGUUGGGUCAGCUGGGAAGAUUGGAUUUUCAAACUAUGGCAGUUUCUGGUCAAAUUUCUCCACAAACCCUGGCUGCCUUACAGGAUGAACUCUUAGGACGCCCAUCUCGCAGCUUGACUAUGCCAUCAAUGAAUCAGCCAGUAGUUCAACAAGCUCUGGUUCAAGGAAACAAUUGUGUUAGUUUUGAACGAGGAAUAACAUUUGGUCAGCCUUUGUUAAAGGGUCAGGAAUUAUCUUCUUUUCCAGUUUGGUCCUCUAAUAACCUUGGUGUUGUCGGCUCAUCGAACAAUCUUGGAGGUCUAGAUGCUUCUCAGAACAGUAAUAUGCUCAUGGCGAUGCUGCCACUGCCACGGCCACAGCCACAGCCACAGCCACAGCCACAGCCACAGCCACAGCCACAUUCACGAACUAUCUCAUCAGAAUCCAAUCAUGCAAUUAAUGUGCAGCCAUCUUGUUUGGUUGCCCCCACAAAACCAUCUGACAAUUUUCAAGUUGCGGUGAAUCCUAUGCUUAAUCACGACUCUGUUGCUGUCCCAACUCAAUCUUCAGGUAGUUUCCAAGCAGGGAAUGCUAUUGCUCCAAUGACUCAAGAUUCUGUUGUAGUUCCUCAGUCAUCCACCAGCAUGAAAAUGGAGAAGAAUGAUGUUAAAAACUUGAGGUCUACCAUUCUUCCCUCUCAGUCAUAUACCAGCAUUUCAUUAGGGAAUAACCCAGGGCUUCUAAACUAUGGCUCUGUGACAAUCCCUUGUCAGCAAGCAAACAAAUCUCAGUCUGAUAAAACUUUUCUUAUGAAUCACAAUUCCCUUGUAGUUCCAUCACAGUCGUCAAGCACGUUAAAGACACAAAGAGAUGUCCUUGUGAACCAUGACUCUACUCGGAACAAAGACAGCACCCACUUCAAUUACAUCCGACUGCCAACAAAAUCAAAUGUGGUAACAUCCAGCAUGGCACAAAUAUUAGAUGGAGACUUUCACAAUUUAGCUACCGCAGGUUACUUGGCUCCAGAAACGAACACUUCAGAUAUUUUAUUGAGCACAGGUAGCAACACUAGUUGGCAGUUGGCAAGUUCAAAGGGUAUAAUUGGUCAGUCUAAUGUGCAUGACUUUUGCAAUGUUCAAGCCACAGAUACAAUGUCAGUGAUAUUGUCAGAUAAAGGGGAAGGGAAAAAUCUUGGGUUUGUUGGUAAAGGUACUUGCCUGCCAAACCGUUUUGCUGUGGAUGACAUUGAAUCACCUACUAAUGAAUUGACUAGUGGUAUCACGUACACUGGAGAUGAUGCCUAUUUUCUAAAUCAAGAUGUUUAUGGGGCACUUCAAAGUGGACCGUGUGCCACUACAAGUUACAAGUGAAUUUCAUGUAUGUUUCUGAGUAGCACAGCAGACAAUUCAAGAGGAGCCUCCAUCAACUCAGAUUCAUUCACGCUUCACUACAGCAUGUAGAGACUUGGCCGGAUGAUUUAUCAAGCAUGUCAUCGGUGGUUGCUCCGUUGGUUGCUAGUCUGCUUCGCGUGGAUAGUAAAUUUUCGUGGGAUUCGUUUUUUAGUCUCUCGAUAUUGUUAGUCACCACGUUGGGUGCUCAUGAAACAAGCCUCAAUUCUGGUUGUAGUUAUUUUUUUUCAGCAAAAAAGAUGCGAUGGAACUGCCUGCGACAUGGAAUCUGUUCGGCAAGUCAUAUAAUUAUUGGUCGAGUGAAAGGAAGUUUGCUGUAAAUCAUGUACUUUUGUUGCCAUGUGUCAUCGUCAAAAACGAGUUUAAUUUAAGACGAUAGUGAUGCUUGUAAAUUUUGUGUUUACUAACUAUAUUAUAUAAUCUGAGCGAACGCUGUCAUUACCUUUUCUCU